rnacentral:rRNA from 1 species
AGCCAUGCGAGUCAUUGUAGUAAUACAAGGCAGACGGCUCAGUAACGCGUAGUCAACCUAACCUAUGGACGGGAAUAACCUCGGGAAACUGAGUAUAAUGCCCGAUAGAACAUUAUGCCUGGAAUGGUUUAUGUUCCAAAUGAUUUAUCGCCGUAGGAUGGGACUGCGGCCUAUCAGUUUGUUGGUGAGGUAAUGGCCCACCAAGACUAUUACAGGUACGGGCUCUGAGAGGAGUAGCCCGGAGAUGGGUACUGAGACACGGACCCAGGCCCUAUGGGGCGCAGCAGGCGAGAAAACUUUGCAAUGUGCGAAAGCACGACAAGGUUAAUCCGAGUGGUUUCUGCUAAAGGAACCUUUUGACAGUCCUAGAAACACUGUUGAAUAAGGGGUGGGCAAGUUCUGGUGUCAGCCGCCGCGGUAAAACCAGCACCUCAAGUGGUCAGGAUGAUUAUUGGGCCUAAAGCAUCCGUAGCCGGCUCUGUAAGUUUUCGGUUAAAUCUGUACGCUCAACGUACAGGCUGCCGGGAAUACUGCAGAGCUAGGGAGUGGGAGAGGUAGACGGUACUCGGUAAGAAGGGGUAAAAUCCUUUGAUCUAUUGAUGACCACCUGUGGCGAAAGCGGUCUACCAGAACACGUCUCGACGGUGAGGGAAGAAAGCUGGGGGAGCACAAACGGAAUAGAUACCCGGGUAGUCCCAGCUGUAAACCAUGCAAACUCAGUGAUGCAUUGGCUUGUGGGCAAUGCAGUGCUGCAAGGAAGCCGUAAGUUUGCCGCCUGGGAAGUACGUACGCAAGUAUGAUACUUAAAGGAAUUGGCGGGG